GUUGUGCAUGUCGAGCCUGUUUGGCUAUUUAUGAGCAGGCUACACUAUAGUCGAUCAAGCCCUUGCAAGAUAGUAAUGCAUUUUUGCAUUCUAGGGUUACAAUGGCGACUAAUAAACAAGACGACCAUGCAGAUCUGAUAGAGAAGAGACCCACCCCGGUGACCUCCUACAGCCAUGGUCGAUGGCAGCCCC